rnacentral:rRNA from 1 species
UACAGAGGGGGCCAGCGUUAUUCGGAAUUAUUGGGCGUAAAGGACGCGUAGGCGGCUUUGCGUGUCUUUCGUGAAAUCCCUCGGCUCAACUGAGGACGUGCGGAAGAAACUGCAGGGCUGGAGUCCGGGAGAGGAGGGUGGAAUUCCCAGUGUAGCGGUGAAAUGCGUAGAUAUUGGGAGGAACACCGGUGGCGAAGGCGGCCCUCUGGACCGGUACUGACGCUGAUGCGCGAAAGCGUGGGGAGCAAACGGG